rnacentral:rRNA from 1 species
UACCUGCAGUCGACGAUGAAGCCCUUCGGGGUGGAUUAGUGGCGAACGGGUGAGUAACACGUGGGCAAUCUGCCCUUCACUCUGGGACAAGCCCUGGAAACGGGGUCUAAUACCGGAUAACACUCUGUCCCGCAUGGGACGGGGUUAAAAGCUCCGGCGGUGAAGGAUGAGCCCGCGGCCUAUCAGCUUGUUGGUGGGGUAAUGGCCUACCAAGGCGACGACGGGUAGCCGGCCUGAGAGGGCGACCGGCCACACUGGGACUGAGACACGGCCCAGACUCCUACGGGAGGCAGCAGUGGGGAAUAUUGCACAAUGGGCGAAAGCCUGAUGCAGCGACGCCGCGUGAGGGAUGACGGCCUUCGGGUUGUAAACCUCUUUCAGCAGGGAAGAAGCGAAAGUGACGGUACCUGCAGAAGAAGCGCCGGCUAACUACGUGCCAGCAGCCGCGGUAAUACGUAGGGCGCAAGCGUUGUCCGGAAUUAUUGGGCGUAAAGAGCUCGUAGGCGGCUUGUCACGUCGGAUGUGAAAGCCCGGGGCUUAACCCCGGGUCUGCAUUCGAUACGGGCUAGCUAGAGUGUGGUAGGGGAGAUCGGAAUUCCUGGUGUAGCGGUGAAAUGCGCAGAUAUCAGGAGGAACACCGGUGGCGAAGGCGGAUCUCUGGGCCAUUACUGACGCUGAGGAGCGAAAGCGUGGGGAGCGAACAGGAUUAGAUACCCUGGUAGUCCACGCCGUAAACGUUGGGAACUAGGUGUUGGCGACAUUCCACGUCGUCGGUGCCGCAGCUAACGCAUUAAGUUCCCCGCCUGGGG